AUUGAACGCUGGCGGCAUGCCUUACACAUGCAAGUCGAACGGCAGCACGGGAGCAAUCCUGGUGGCGAGUGGCGAACGGGUGAGUAAUAUAUCGGAACGUGCCCAGUCGUGGGGGAUAACGCAGCGAAAGCUGUGCUAAUACCGCGUACGAUCUAUGGAUGAAAGCGGGGGAUCGCAAGACCUCGCGCGAUUGGAGCGGCCGAUAUCAGAUUAGCUAGUUGGUGAGGUAAAGGCUCACCAAGGCGACGAUCUGUAGCUGGUCUGAGAGGACGACCAGCCACACUGGAACUGAGACACGGUCCAGACUCCUACGGGAGGCAGCAGUGGGGAAUUUUGGACAAUGGGCGCAAGCCUGAUCCAGCAAUGCCGCGUGCAGGAUGAAGGCCUUCGGGUUGUAAACUGCUUUUGUACGGAACGAAACGGUCUUUCCUAAUACGAGAGGCUAAUGACGGUACCGUAAGAAUAAGCACCGGCUAACUACGUGCCAGCAGCCGCCGUAA
rnacentral:rRNA from 1 species